rnacentral:lncRNA from 1 species
UGGUGACCCCACCACACCACACCUUCCGCAAGUUAUAAUGAUGAUUUACACAUAAUAAUCUUCCACAACCAGGGAUGGAUCUGAAUAAGCUUACUACAAUUACCCAAAAUAGGUAUUCUUCUUUUAUUUCAGGAGAGGUGUGACAAUGAUUAACGUAGAAAAUGAUGCGAGGGUAAGGGGUAUUAAGGGAUCAGGAAAAGAGACGCAUGGGACGUAAGAAGCCUCCAAAACCACCGCGGCCUCCUAGGGGUGGCCGAUCAUUAAGUGAAGCUGAUAUAAAAUUGGUUAGAGAAAUUUCGGAACUUUCAAGGUGAAGGCAUACAAGGAAUGAUAGAAGAAAGAAAUUAGAGAAAAAGAGAGUUGAUAAGGCAUCUUCAUCACAUGCUAGUGUUUUUGCAAUGAUCAUCACCAUUCUCUUCAUCUGUUUCGUAAUCUUUCAAGGUAACCACCCAAGGCUCAUUUGUAUGUUUUAAUCUAUUUUUCUUUGCUUAAGCUAUCCUAUAUAUAUGACCUUCAAUUCAAUGUGUGGAUUAGAUCAAAAACAAAUCAGAUAAUCAUCCCUUGGAUAAAUACAUAUUCUUUGUCCAUUCAGCCCCUCUAAUUACUUGUCUUGGUAAUCUAGCUUUUUCUUUUGUUUAUUACAAUUGAUUAGAUAGACAUAUUAAUUAAUUAUUUGAAUAAGGUAAUUAACAUGCAUAUCCAAUUUUUUGAAAUUUAGAUGUAGUUACCCUACCAAUCUUGAGUUGAAUGUGUAAUAUUAUAUCUAUCACAGAUAUGCUGAAAAGGUUGAAGAAUAUAACUACUACUUUUGUGUUAAAUUGUAGCAGGUAAAGUUCAUGAUGGCAUCAUAUCAAUCUUGUUUCUUUCCUAGACUUAUUAGGCAUCUUGGGUUCUAAUGUAUGAUUGUAAUUGGAUUAGAGUUCUUCAGAUUUGCUUAAUGUAGACUAAGGUUUCUAUAUUUCUUCACCAACAUCACCAUUCAAACAUUGGUUCCAAAAACAUUCCAAGAGUUUCAGAUUUCAGAAAACUUAAUGGAUGAUUUAAGUUCAAUUCUUAAAACUAUUUUGCACAUAAAAAUAAACGAAGGUGUGGGAUACUAGCUUCCCAAGUAUGAGGCCUUGUUUGAAGAACUUUGACAAAAUUGGUUUGUUCCACAUGAGUUUUACAACAUUCUACUUAUGAUGAUUUUGUUUUUCCUCUGCAAGUAUGUAAUGAAACAACUGCUAUUGAGUUCUGAAUAUGUUUGAUUUUUUCAAAUUUAUCAAAUGUGGUGCACUACAAAUAGACAUGGUUUCUUCAAUCUAAUUAUAUAUGUUAAAUGUUGAAGCAUAUUGACCAGGGAUUCAAAUUGCGGUUGCAGCCAUGUUUUCAGUCGCAUUGCGUUUAUCGUGGUUGCGGAUAUAACAUAUACUAUUGCGGCCACUGUGGGUAUUGCGGUAGUGAAUUUUUUUUAAAAUUCGCACAACUUAUUGUAAAACAUAAUAAUUAUAAUUAUAAUUAUAAAAAGUCAGUUUUAAUGAUUUUUAGAGUGUUUUCUAACAAUUAUGAACUUUUAUUAAUAUGAGAACACAAUUUUUAUAACCAUUAAUUAUUCUUAUAUUUAUUUGUGAAUUUUCUAAGAAUAUUAUAUUAACUAAUAACAAAGUAAAAAAUAGGAAAUAUUAAAAUUUCAUCAUAUUUAAUAAGUUUGAAAGUUUUUAUAGAUAAAAUAAUUGAAAAUUCAUACAUGAGAGAGGUCUUCAAUAUUUCUUGACAGUUUUGAAGAUGGUGAAUAUAUGAAAACAUUCUAUGCUGCAAAAGGAAAAAAGGAAUAGAUAACUGUAUAGAUUCUCAUUAAUUAUUCCUAUUUCCUACCACUUAUUCUCACUCUCAUUCUACUUUCAUAUAUAGUUUAACAUGCUUCGAUUCUUAAUUAUCUUUUCAUAAAAUAUACUCUAUUCAUUUAUCUAAAGAUAUAUUUUAAAUAUUUUAAUAUAAUUAAAAUAAAAAACAUUAUUAAAAGUUUUCUUUAAAAAAAACAUACCUUACGAAUAGUGAUAAUGGUACGAUUUAGUUUUCACCAAUUAGUAGAAUGAUGAGGAGGAUCAGAUCCUUCACCUUCACUUUCAGAGCGUUCUUGACUUGAUUCUCUUAGCCUUUGUCCAAAAAUGUAUCCAAAAAAAGUAACAUUUCACUUUGCUUUUCAUAUAAUUGAUAUGGAGGAUAUAUUUGAUGAGGAUACAUGAGAGGUGGAGGUGGGUGAUACAUUGGUGGUAGAGGAUGCAUGUGAGGCUGGUAUGGCACACCAUAAUUAGAAAAUGGUGGAUAAUAACCAUAUGGUUGUGGAUAACUAUGUGAAGGCUGAAAAUAUGAAGGUUGUUCUGGUGGAUAAAAACCUUGAGUGCUAGUAGAUGAAUUACUAUACCCAAGGUUAUAAGAACCCGAUCUCCUACUAGAUGAAGAGCCUAUAGAAGUAUGCUUCUUGCUUUUUCCUUUUGAUGGAGCUCUAGGUUCACUUCUAUCUCUCCUAGGUUCAGGAAACAUAUUUCCAUCAAAUUCUAAUCUAUCACGGAAAUGUCCACUAGUGGUACCAACCCCAUAUUCUCCUCCAUACCAACUAGAAGACCUAAUUUCACCUCUAUCACUACUAUGUCCAUCAUCGUCAUCAAUUGGACUUAAACCACCAUCAUCGAGUCCAUCACCACUCUGACUUGGUGAUGCACUAGAACUUGAAUGAGACAAAUUUUGUUGUUGAGAUUGAUCAACAUUCAUUUCAUCAUCAGAGGUAUCCAGAGGCAACACACUAACAUUUUCACCAUCUAACAAUGGAUUCUCUUUCUCAUGAAGCCAUUUUGAUAGUGGAUCAACAUAUUCAAAUAUAUGAUCAAGGUUGAUAGAAUUAAAACUAGCAUUUAUAUCAUCAAUGCUUAUUAUUUUUUGAUGCCUUAUUUGAAGCCUCAUAUUAUAAUAGGUAAAUACUAGUUUCUCAAAUUUUUUAUACUUCAACCUAUUUCUUGCCUUGGUGUAAAUAUAACUAAAUGUGCUCCAAUUUCGUUCGCAAUUUGAUGCAGAAGUUGUUUGACUAAGCACUUUAAUUGCCUAUUUUUAUAACUUAGGAACAUGUGCCGUAUAUUAUCCACCACUCAGCAGCAUAAUAUUAUUUAAAUUUCAAAAUAACUUUAAAAUAUACAAUAUAAUUGAAUAGUAUAAAUUAAAUUAAAUAAUUUAAUUAAAUAUUUACCCAGAUUCAUUUGCUUCCAAGCUCUUUGUGCUUGUGGAGUAUCGGAUGUCUCAUAUUUAUCUCUAAAUAGUAACAAUUGCAUAAAUAAAAGAUAGAGUAAAAAUAAAAAAAAAUUCUAUUUCAAAUUACGUAACUAAGUUACAAAUAAUAGUACUUGAAUAUAACUUGAUCAAUCAUUCUGACUUGAGUGUCAAGAGAAGGUUCUAAUCUUUUAAUUAGUGAUCUUGUACCUUUUAAUGUUUCUAUUAGUACAUUAUCAGAAUGCUCCACCCCAAAUUGAAAUUGAGGAUUGAGAAAAUAACCUAAGCAUAAUUUAUAAGAAUAUCAUCAAAUAAUAAUAAUCUAAAGCUUAAAAUAAUAAAAUAUAAAAAUAGUUCUUAAUUAUAUAAAACAUUUUAUCUUACCAGCUAAAUGGAAGUCGGAAUGCAUAAAAUUCCAUCUAUUGUCAAUAAUCUUUUUGUACUCGGUGAAAUAUUAACAAUCUUGUUGAAUUGCUCAUUUAGCUCUAUGAACAGCCUUAUAAAUAAAGCACAUUGUUGGUUUUUCAUCACCAUCCAGAAGUCUCAAUACUUUUACUAGGGGCUCGUAAACUUUUAUGAGGUCGUUGGCUUUUUUUUCCAAAAAUCUUUUCCCAAAACAAUUUUUUUGGUUUUAAAAGCAGACCUUGACUUUUGCUGUCCUUAUUUUGAUCAUUUAAAUUCCUAUAUAUUCACAAGAAAAAUUUUAAAAUAAUAUAAUUUAAAUUAUUUGGAACUAAUAAAACCAUUAAAGGUUGUUAUAUUUAAGUAAUUAUAUUAACUAAUUAUAAAAUAUUGACCUUUGAAUUAAACAUUUGUAACGCCCCAAAAAUCUCUUAUAUUUAUUUUUGUGUGUUUGUGACACAAAUAUAUGUUUGUUUUAGUGGUUAAGUACUCUAGAGAGUGUUUGAAAGGUCCCAAGUUCAAGCCUUAGCUUGGGAAAAUUUUUGUUUUUAAAUGAAUAAACCCCUAUCUCUAAUCAGUAGGCUUAUAAAUAAAUUUUGGUGAAAUAUGUUAGAAUGGGCUUGCUAGUUUGGUGGCUAAGUGGAGUGCAAAUGGGCAGGAGGUUUGGAGUUUGAGUCUUUGUGCAAAUAAAGGACUUAUUUUGCUGCUAGUGCUGUGUAAGUGUUUUGGUUUAGCCGAAACACUAAAGUGUUUGAGUGGUUUUCAAAUUCGGUUGUUGAGAAAAGUGGUGGCCGGUUUUUAGGAGGAGAUUAUGAGAUUUUAUUUUUAUUUUCUUGUUAUCUUUUUUUCAAAUUUCAGCUUCUCAUACUUUUCCCAAAUUUCGGCCUUUCUACUCUCUUUUUUGACAUUUUGAAUCCAUUUUCUCUGCUGUUCUUUUUCUACUUCACUGCUGCUGAUUUGCUCUUCUGGUUUUUCUUUUCUUCUCCUUUUAUUUGUUGUCGACUGCUUGCUGAAAAACUUCUUUCUUCUACUGCUUUGGCCUAUUUAUUAAUCUAGUCUUUCUCUAAACUCUUUUACGUGUCGUAACUUGUUUUCUCUGUUGUGCUUUUGUGCGUUUGGUAAGUAGUGUUUUUGCCUUUUGUUAAUUAAUUCUUGGUUAGUGACUAAGGAGAUUGUUGUUACGUAUGGCAGGCGAAAGGCAGUGAACGGUUUGUGUUGCUGCUGAGGUUGGAGAGUUAAGGACAAAGCUGUCGUUGGUAAGUGGAUCAUGCUUAUUGAACCACCAUCGGUAUUGGGGUCUUGAUUAAAUUAUUAUUUUACGACUAAUAAGGGUUUUUAAUAUUUGAUUUUUAAGUUGGUAAUUGGAGAAUCUUUGUUAAUUGUGAUGACAGCCAAAAGUCUGGAGUGAAGGGCUGUGCUGGUGCCAAAUUAUAGAGGGAAACUUCCGGUAUUCGUAAGGUAAGAGUUCGGUUAAGGUGUUAGAAGUAUGAUUUUCGAUUUCAGUUAAUUGGUUGUUGAUUGAGGUGUAUAAUACAGUGUUAUACUGGUCAAUUGAUAGGUCUUGGGUGUUCAGGAGUGCUUUUGCAAAGAAUCGAAAUCAGGUGUGUAAACACAACUUUGGAAACAAAAACCGGUGAAAAGCUGAAAAGAAGUGAUUGUCGAUGCCACACCGGGAUGCUGUCACCCAAGUGGUAGGUCGUGUGAUCGAACAUAGGUGUGUGAUCGACGAGGCUGGCUGUGAGCGAUUCAUGGGCCGGAUCGAACUGGGCCAUGUGGGAUUAUUGGGCCAGGCCGUGUGAUCCACAUGGCCAAGGCCAUUUUUGGUUGUGUGGGGCCACACGUUUGGCAUGCAAUAUGGGCCUGUGGGCCCAUUUUUACUAUUUGACUGCUAAGGUUGCACGGGUCACCCAAGUCGACUGUGAACCUACUAUAGGGACAGUAAGGUUACCUAGACCCCCUAAUUGACUGAAAUGAUUGAAAGACUGUUGUAUGCCAUAUGAGAUAGAUAUGAAUGCCUGUAUGUUAAGCAUGAUGUAUAUACUAUUCUGAUUAUGCAUGAUACCAUGGCAUGAUUAUAUGAUGCAUUGCAUUGGGUUGGGGAUUGAUAUUGAUUAGAGGAAGUGUACUGAAAGGCUUUUAGCUUAACUUACUGGCAGCUCAGCUGCAACUACUGUCUAAUGCCGCAUUCGGUACUACUUACAGUGUAGGGUUGGGUGGGUUGAUUAUAUCCCCACAUGGAGUAUAGGGUUGGACGGAGAUAGAGUGUAGAGGCUGGUUGGGUAGGAUUUUAUAUAUGCAUAACUGUCAUUGUUACUGUACUAUGAUGGGCCAAGGCCCUAAUCCUUAUUGAUAUUGAAAUGGGCUUAGGCCAAAACUAAGAUUAUCCGUUAUUGUCAGUUUGUUUGCAUGGGGAAUUACAUACUGAGUUUACGUAAACUCACCCCUUCUAUUUAAUCUGUACAGGUAAUCCCCAGACAUAGGUGGUUUGGUGUGACGGAGGACUCAGCGGUGGCCACACAACCUAUUUUAUUCAACUUAGUACCUAAUAAUAAUUUUGCUUUUAUUUUGGGGGUGUUUUACUGUAGUAAUGGCCUCUUUGGAUUUUUACUUUUAAAUUGGGGUUUUUAUUUUUUUUGGACGUACAACUGUUAGUAGUAGGGAUAAUCAAGUUUUUAAAACCAAUCAAAGGUUUUAACAAAAUACGUACAAAUAUGCAAAUUGUUUUAAAAAGCUACCGCAACGUACAAUAUUUUGCAAACUAACGACAAAAUAGAAAAUCCCUAUUUAGGAUUAAUAAAAGACAACGACGAGAUCUAAACCAAAAAUGUUUUAAGCAAAGUUACAGUUAUUUUAACAUGAGCAUCAGUUUUCAAACACACUAUCAUGUGACAUCUUCAGAUUCGACCAUAACGUCUAGGCCAGGUUUUGGGUGUUUCAACAUUUCUCUCAGACCUUGCUUUUGCCUUGUUAUCUCUUGAAGUUGAAUGAAAUAAGUUGCAAAUAGAGUAAGAGCGGGUCGAAGUAUUUUCUUCCCUUGUGUAUACUUCUUCAUCAAAUAAACAAUCCAAAUGUGAUUGUAUAUAAAGCAAGGCACUUUCGUUGCCUCAUUUAAUACUUUUGCUACACUGGGCUUUUUCCCAAUAUCUUCAAGGCAUAAAUCUAAGCAGUGAGCUGCACAUGAGGUCCAAUAUAGAUUCUUUCUUUUCAACACUAAUUUUUUUCGAACGGCUUACAUUGCUGCCUCAUAAUCAGUCACUAUUUGGACAAUGUAACUUUCUCCA